UACAGAGGUCUCAAGCGUUGUUCGGAUUCAUUGGGCGUAAAGGGUGCGUAGGUGGCGUGGUAAGUCGGGUGUGAAAUUUCGGAGCUUAACUCCGAAACUGCAUUCGAUACUGCUGUGCUUGAGGACUGGAGAGGAGACUGGAAUUUACGGUGUAGCAGUGAAAUGCGUAGAGAUCGUAAGGAAGACCAGUGGCGAAGGCGGGUCUCGUGGACAGUUCCUGACACUGAGGCACGAAGGCCAGGGGAGCAAACGGG
rnacentral:rRNA from 1 species